rnacentral:rRNA from 1 species
UACGAAGGAUGCGAGCGUUAUCCGGAUUUAUUGGGUUUAAAGGGAGCGUAGGCGGUCUUAUAAGUCAGUGGUGAAAUCCUAUCGCUUAACGAUAGACGUGCCAUUGAUACUGUAGGACUUGAGUACAGAUGCCGUUGGCGGAAUGUGUCAUGUAGCGGUGAAAUGCAUAGAUAUGACACAGAACACCGAUUGCGAAGGCAGCUGACGAAAUUGUAACUGACGCUGAGGCUCGAAAGCGUGGGGAUCAAACAGG